GCCCCCGCCCCCCGGCGCGGCACUUUCAGUUUUGCCUCCCCCAUCCGCCCCGGCCGUGGCGGGCACCCGAGAGGCCGGGCACCCGAGAGGCCGGGCCCUCGCGCGCCACCCGCGCCUCCACCCCGGGCUCUCACCGCUCCUGGCCGCCCCGCGCCCUGGGCUUAGCCGACCUGGCUUUGUCUGCUCCGUUAACUGGAGAUCGGGCCCCGCCGGGCUGCGGGGUCUCUCCAUCAGCGCGAGGGGUGCCGGUGGCGAGUCCUACCCUAGAGGCGCUGCCAGGAGCAGAGAAGGUGAGCAUGGGACCCGGACCGGCUGGACGUCCACCACGUGACUGGGGGACUGGGGCUCCUGAAGGGGGAGAUUCCCACUGGCAGAGAUGCUGGGCCCAUGAACGAGGCAUGUGGCAUACAGUGACACCUCAGAGGAAGGUUGGGGCCAGGCUCUCGAGAGCCUCGUGGGACCGGGUACCAAGUUUGGGUUUCCCUUUGAAAGCCAUGGGAACCAAAAGAGGGUUCCAAAGAAAUACGAGAUGACUUUUUAUUUAUUUAUUUGUCUUUUUGUCUCUCCUAGGGCCGCUUCUUGUGUCAUAUAGAGGUUGCCAGGCUAGGGGUUGAAUCGGAGCCACGUCUGCGACCCACACCACAGCUCACAACAACGCUGGAUCCUCAACCCACUGAGCAAGGCCAGGGAUCGAACCUGCAACCCCAUGGUUUCUAGUCGGAUUCGUUAACCACUGCGCCACGAUGGGAACUCUGAUAACUGACUUUUAUUUUCAGAAAAGUUGGAGCGUGACAGCAACUGAGGGGCUACUAUAAAUGCCCAGCCAGCUGCCCUAGGAACCAAGGAAUGAAGGAACCAAGAAGGAACCAGGGGACCAGGGGGUGAAGGGCCCAGGGGACAAAGGGACGAGAGGCCAACAGACCAGGGAAUCACGGGACCGAGAGACCAGGGGACAAAGGGACCAGGGGAUUGGGGAAGGCACAGGGAGUUGGUCGGGGACGAGGAGGGGGCUUAAGGGCUGAGGCUGCAGGUUGGACUUCUCCUGGGUUGCCUGUGAACUCCCUGAGUUAGGCUUGGCAUUGGCAGCGAGGUCGCAUUCACGCACGUCUGCUUGGCUCUGUCUAGUUGUGGCUUCGCUCUCAGGCGUACCUGCCGGGGACAGGAAGACACGCAGUUUAGGCAGCGCUUUAUCACGUAAGAAAGAAAGGUGAAUCGCAUCCCACCCAGUUUGUGCAGGAGCAGAGAAAGAGCAGGAUGGGGGGCGGGGAGAUGCUGUGUCCUGGCCCUGACCGAGGAUGACCUUGGCCUCGCCCCUUCCUCUCGGGGGGACUCUGUCGCCCUUCUGUGAAAUAAUAGCUCGGGGUGAAAAAGUCCUCAGGUUCCUUUAACAGGACAAGGUCUGGGUUCUCUUUUCACGAACUGAAAUCCCGGGUUUGGAAACUUGGGCUUCUUGUCACACGUGGAAGCGUUGUGGCGUUUUAGAAGGGUGGGGGCAGGGUGGCACUGCAGCCCCCUGGGGACUGGGAUCUUUUUGACUCUAAGUAAUGUGCAGGGCAGGGGGCCUUGGUGACCACACGCGCCCUGACCCUCACAAAAUCCCUGCCCUGGGGUGGCCUGGUCGUAAACUCUCCUGCAAAGGUCAUGUGAAUUUAUCGGCCCCGAUGCUUUAUAAUGAGAGAUUCCGGUCUCUCUUCCGCAUGGCACUUUUGAGCUUCAGCAGAUCUUAAGUGAACACUGUAGACAUGUUUUAGAAUGUUCUUCGGGAAACUUGAAAGGCUGGAGUCGCAAAAUGGGACCUCAAGCGUCCUGAACACUCGUCUAAAUAAACACACAGACUUGACCCCAGAUGUUUUAGAGAAUGAACUUGGAAUUAAACCUGUGUGUUACAAUUCUGAUUAUACCCUAAAUGUAAGAACUCAUCAAAGACGUCUUCCGGGGAAAGCCUUGAGGGUGUAUGGCAAAUUUCUCUUUUAUAGAGGUCAUCGGAGCAGCGGGGGGGCGGGCCGCAGGCCUUCCCCAGGGACCGGGGGAGAGAGCGAUUGGCUGUCCUUGUUUAAAGAAGAAAAUGUGUGUGCGUGUGUUUAUGUAGGGAUAAAGGCAAGAUGUGUCUUCUCAAGGCUACACAUUUUUGAAAAGAUUUUGAAUUAUUUUACCCGACGCCAUCUUCCUAUUUCACGUCUUGAUCUCCUUCUAGGGAAGAUGGAUGGGUAACCCCUGGGGGUCGCUGGGUUUCUCCUCCUCGUGGAUGAAAAUGAAGUGGUGGGGCAGGCGGCCUGCCGGCCCCAGGCGUCUCCCUCGAGUUCUGCCUCCCCAGCCUCCACGCUCCAUCCCCGCCCAGCUGACGUUUCCUCCUCCUCUUCCAAAAGGCCCUCACACCCAGCUCCAAAGAGAGGCUAUCUGAACUCUGGGCUAUAAAGGGAAACUAGCUUUUAAAAAAAAUUUUAAGUGAUGUUUUUGGUAUUUAAUCAAUUGCAGGGCAAGGAGGAGGAACUUUCAAACAACUGGGUGUUUUCUUUAGGGUCGAUUGAAGGAAAACGGUCCACUCAGUGAAGGAGGAGGAGGAGAGACAGUGAUGAAGGCGCCGGUUACGCGGAGUGAAAAACCCGAGAGGCGGAGAGGAGCGCUGGCACUCGCAGCUGGGGAGGCUGGACAGCGGGCCCAGCUCCCCCCAUCGCGUCUCCCCGGGAUCCUCAGCCAGCGGACUCGGAGGCUCCGUGGACCACAGCAGGGCGUGCAUCUCUGUGUGUGGGGCGGAGCUCUUUCUCCCUUUGCAAAGGUGUAACAGUAAACAUUGGUGUAACAGUAAACAUAGGUGUAACAGUAACCAUAGGCACAGUAAACCACACACCCCCUUUAAGUUUAAAAUGUGAUACCUCCUGACAAACGUGGGACCACCUCCUCCAUCAAAACAUGUCCAUCGCUCUGGAAAGUUCCCUUCUGCCCUUUGCGGUCACUCCCCUCCCCCGCCCCAGCCACGAGCACCCACAGAUCUAAUUUAUGUUCCUGUUUUGCGUUUUCCAGAAAGUCAUAAAAACGAAGCUGUACAGGACAUGGCCCUUUGUGUCUGGCUUUUUACACAUAGAAUAACACCUUUGAGACGGGCCCACGCUGUUGUAUGCCUCUGUGCUUUGUGCCUCUUUAUUGCCGAGUAUUCUGGUGUAUGCAGAGGCUGCAGUUUUGAUCCCUCCACCCUUGAUGGACUUGGUGAUUAUAAAUGAAGCUCCAUUUAAGUCAUUGUUUAGAUGUGUUUUCUUCUUUCAGGUAAAUACCUAGGACUGGGGUUGCUGAGUCCUGUAACGUGUACGCCGAAAAAGAAACAGCCAGACUGUUUUUCAAAGUGGCUGAGCCAUUUUGCAUUCCCAGCAGGAAUGCUUAAAGGUCAGCUGCAGGUGAGUAUAAUAAAAAACAUCGGAAAAUAACAAGUGUCGGCAAGGAUGUGGAGAAACUGGAAUUCUCACACGUUGCUAGUGGGCAUAGGGAACAUACAGUGGGCCGGCUACCCUGAAGGACGGUUUAGUGAUUCCUCAGUAAAUUAAAUACAGAGUGAUCGUGUGCCCCAGCAAUUCCACACUUGGACACAGACCUCAAAGAAUUGAAAGCAGAUGUUCAAUCAAGAGCUGUACACAGAUGUUCAUACCAGCAUUAUCCACAGUGGCCAAAAUGUGGAAACAGAAGAAUCCCCAUCGAUGGAUGAACAGAUCAACAAAAUACGGCAUAUCCAUACACUGGGAUAUUAGUCAGUCUUAAAAAGGAAUGAAUUUCUGAUACAUGCUGCCACACGGAUGGGCCUGGACAACAUUAUGCAAAAUGAAAAAAGCCAGAAGAAAAGGUCACACGUUGUGUGGCUGCAUUGACAGGCAACAUCCAGACUGAACAAAUCCAUAGCGGUGGGGAGAAGAUUAGUAGUUACAGGGGUGAGGAGGGGGUGUAUUGACCACGUUUUUUAUUUUCUGUGUUUUAUGAUGCUCUGACAUCUUGGGGUCUUGGACACCCAGAGAGGCCUCGCCCCUCCCAGAGUCAGCUCAUUCCUGCAGAUAGCAAACCAUAGGCUUGAGGUCCUCCCUUUGAUAUGCAAACCAACCAACCCUGAGUCUACACUGCAGCCCAACUCAUUUUAUCAAUGUGGAACUUAGUCCCCUGCCCUGAAUCACCCCAGGACCAGUUCCCCACAACUAGGGACCUCCUACAGCCCAGGCCUGCUGAUGGUGUUUAAAAGGUCUUACCCUGACCUGCUUGCCUUUCCCACCAAAACCACAACAAAGGCCCCGCCCACAUUUCCCCUCCCUUCUUCUGCUCCCGACCACCCCUGGCACCUCCCCAUGUGGCCUUGCCUCCUGAUUCAGUGGAUCUGUGAGUGUAAAAACAUCUUCCGACAAGACAGCCGUAUCUGUUUUUCUGUGUCUUUUCAUACCUAAUUAAAACAGAUCCCAGGUAUGUUUUAAAUCGGCGGGGGCGGGGGGGGGGACAGGAAUAGGAAGUGACGGUUUAAUGUGUAUAGGGUUGCCUUUUGGGGUGAUUAAAAAUAUUCUGCAAAAGCU